rnacentral:rRNA from 1 species
GAGUUUGAUCGUGGCUCAGGAUGAACGCUAGCGACAGGCUUAACACAUGCAAGUCGAGGGGCAGCGGGGGAGUCAGCUUGCUGACUUUUGCCGGCGACCGGCGCACGGGUGAGUAACACGUAUGCAACCUGCCCGCCACAGGGGGAUAACCGGGAGAAAUCCCGACUAAUACCGCGUAGACCGCGAGGGGGCAUCCCGACGCGGGGAAAGGACAUGGUCCGGUGGCGGAUAGGCAUGCGUUCCAUUAGGUAGUUGGUGGGGCAACGGCCCACCAAGCCGACGAUGGAUAGGGGUUCUGAGAGGAAGGUCCCCCCAACUGGUACUGAGACACGGACCAGACUCC